AUUGAACGCUGGCGGCAAGCCUAACACAUGCAAGUCGAACGAGUGGCGGACGGGUGAGUAAUGUCUGGGAAACUGCCUGAUGGAGGGGGAUAACUACUGGAAACGGUAGCUAAUACCGCAUACCAUCGGAUGUGCCCAGAUGGGAUUAGCUAGUAGGUGGGGUAAAGGCUCACCUAGGCGACGAUCCCUAGCUGGUCUGAGAGGAUGACCGGCCACACGGGAACGGGGACACGGCCCAGAUUCCUACGGAGGGCAGCAGUGGGAAAUAUUGAACAUUGGGCGCAAGCCUGAUGCAGCCAUGCCGGGUGUAUGAAGAAGGCUUUCGGGUUGUAAAGUACUUUCAGCGGGGAGGCGUUACCCGCAGAAGAAGCACCGGCUAACUCCGUGCCAGCAGCCGCGGUAAUAC
rnacentral:rRNA from 1 species